rnacentral:rRNA from 1 species
GACGAACGCUGGCGGCGUGCCUAAUACAUGCAAGUAGAACGCUGAAGGAGGAGCUUGCUCUUCUGGAUGAGUUGCGAACGGGUGAGUAACGCGUAGGUAACCUGCCUGGUAGCGGGGGAUAACUAUUGGAAACGAUAGCUAAUACCGCAUAACAGUUGAUGUUGCAUGACAUUUACUUAAAAGGUGCAAUUGCAUCACUACCAGAUGGUCCUUCGUUGUAUUAGCUAGUUGGUGGGGUAACGGCUCACCAAGGCGACGAUACAUAGCCGACCUGAGAGGGGGAUCGGCCACACUGGGACUUAGACACGGCCCAGGCUCCUACGGGAGGCAGCAGUAGGGAAUCUUCGGCAAUGGACGGAAGUCUGAACGAGCAAAGCCGCGUGAGUGAAGAAAGGUUUCGGAUCGUAAAGCUCUGUUGUAAGAGAAGAACGAGUGUGAGAGUUGAAAGUUCACACUGUGACGGUAUCUUACCAGAAAGGGACGGCUAUCUACGUG